CCUACGGGGGGCAGCAGUGGGGAAUAUUGGGCAAUGGGCGCAAGCCUGAACCAGCCAAGUAGCGUGAAGGAUGACUGCCCUACGGGUUGUAAACUUCUUUUAAAAAGGAAUAAAGUGAGGCACGUGUGCCUUGUUGUAUGUACGUUAUGAAUAAGGCUAGGCUAACUCCGGGCCAGCACCCGAGGUAAAACGGAGGAACCGGGCGUUAUUCGGAUUUAUUGGGUUUAAAGGGAGCGUAGGUGUGUGGUUAAGUUAGUGGUGAAAGUUUGCGGCUCAACCGUCAAACUGCAAUUGAUACUGGCAGUCUUGAGUACAGUUGAGGUAGGCGGAAUUCGUGGUGUAGCGGUGAAAUGCUUAGAUAUCACGAAGAACUCCGAUUGCGAAGGCAGCUUACUAAACUGCCACUGACAUUGAUGCUCGAAAGUGUGGGUAUCAAACAGGAUUAGAUACCCCAGUAGUC
rnacentral:rRNA from 1 species